ACACACACACACACACACACACACACACACACACACACACACACACACACACACACACACACACACACACACACACACACACACACACACACACACCACACACACACGAUGAUGUCGGAAGAAAGAGGGUAUAAUGAGAGAUUAAUGCGAGUAUGUCUAAGGUCAGGCUGGACAUGUCCCUCUACAGUCGCACCGUGAAGCCAUAUUAGGGCCCGGCAACAGGAAGUGGAUGUGGAGGUCUAAUCAUGGGCAGGAAGUGGUGUAGUGAUACCUGAAACGGAAAACAGGAGGAUGUGACUGGCGUGUGAUUACUGAGGUGAAGGGUGUUAUCUGCCAGGCGUGCUCAAGGAGGAAGCGAAUGCAGGGCAUGAUAGUCGAAACAAAAGACUAUCUGGACUGGGAAUGACGCUGCUGGAAUGCAAGCGAGGAGGACAGAGAGAAACAGAGAGCUAACCGUCAAGUCGACUCACCUACUGCGACACUGAAGGGGAGACGCAUGGAGCGCAGGAACGAUUGCCCAUGUUUAUUCCCCAAAGUCACUGGCGCCCAUUUC
ensembl:lncRNA